rnacentral:rRNA from 1 species
CCCAGACUCCUACGGGAGGCAGCAGUGGGGGAUAUUGCACAAUGGGGGGAACCCUGAUGCAGCGACGCCGCGUGGGUGAAGGAGUGCUUCGGCAUGUAAAGCCCUAUCGGCAGGGAAGAAGCAAGACGGUACCUGACUAAGAAGCCCCGGCUAACUACGUGCCAGCAGCCGCGGUAAUACGUAGGGGGCGAGCGUUAUCCGGAUUCACUGGGUGGAAAGGGAGCGUAGACGGCGAUGCAAGCCAGAUGUGAAAGCCCGGGGCUCAACCCCGGGACUGCAUUUGGAACUGUGUGGCUGGAGUGUCGGAGAGGAAGGCGGAAUUCCUAGUGUAGCGGUGAAAUGCGUAGAUAUUAGGAGGAACACCAGUGGCGAAGGCGGCCUGCUGGACGAUGACUGACGUUGAGGCUCGAAAGCGUGGGGAGCAAACAGGAUUAGAUACCCCAGUAAC